AUCCAGCUGACGAGUCCUGAAUAGGACGAAACGCGCGUCCUGAAU
rnacentral:hammerhead_ribozyme from 1 species